rnacentral:rRNA from 1 species
UUGACUUGCGGCAGGCUAUAAUGCAGUCGAACGGUCUUUAGCAAUAGAGAUAGUGGCGCACGGGUGCGUAACGCGUAACCAACCUACCCGAAUCUGGGGGAUAGCCCGCCGAAAGGCGGAUUAAUACCGCAUAAGACCAUGGAGCGGCAUCGUUCAGUGGUUAAAGAUUUAUUGGAUUCGGAUGGGGUUGCGUGCCAUUAGCUAGUUGGCGAGGUAACGGCUCACCAAGGCGACGAUGGCUAGGGGAGCUGAGAGGCUGGUCCCCCACACGGGCACUGAGAUACGGGCCCGACUCCUACGGGAGGCAGCAGUAGGGAAUACUGGGCAAUGGUCGAGAGACUGACCCAGCCAUGCCGCGUGCAGGAUGAAGGCUUUCUGAGUCGUAAACUGCUUUUACCAGGGAAGAAAAAAGGGGAUGCGUCCUCUACUGACGGUACCUGGUGAAUAAGCACCGGCUAACUCCGUGCCAGCAGCCGCGGUAAUACGGAGGGUGCAAGCGUUGUCCGGAUUUAUUGGGUUUAAAGGGUGCGUAGGCGGCUUUUUAAGUCCGGGGUGAAAGCCCGUUGCUCAACAACGGAACUGCCCCGGAAACUGGAGAGCUUGAGUACAGACGAGGGUGGCGGAAUGGACGGUGUAGCGGUGAAAUGCAUAGAUACCGUCCAGAACCCCGAUUGCGAAGGCAGCUGCCUAGACUGUAACUGACGCUGAGGCACGAAAGCGUGGGGAGCGAACAGGAUUAGAUACCCUGGGUAGUCCACGCCGUAAACGAUGGAUACUCGCUGCGGGCGAUAGACGGUCCGUGGCUUAGCGAAAGCGUUAAGUAUCCCACCUGGGGAGUACGCUCGCAAGAGUGAAACUCAAAGAUUUGACGGGGGCCCGCACAAGUGGGUGGAAGACAUGGUGGUUUAAUUCGAUGAUUACGGGGAGGAACCUUAC